UAAAGUUUGACCAUUGAGGUAUAAAAAAAGAAAAAUCUAUUUUUGUACCUCCACGGUUUGACGAGGAUAAAACCCUCCACCUCUUAAUAAAUGGUGAGGAGGCUAGACGAAAAUCAUCAGGAGGUCACCCGCUUGGACAGAUCACAAAAUUUAAAAGUGGUAAAUCAUAGAGAAAAUAGAACAGUAUUUUCUCUAUGGGUAAACCUAACGCACUGAAGGUGAUCACGGAAGGGAAAAAAAAGGAGAAAUGACCGGUACUACCGAAUUAUGGACAAAUUAUUGUCCACAUGAAAACAGUGCAUUUACUAAAUGCAGAAAUGUAAACGAAUUAAAUGCCAUGUGGAAGCAGGAAAUAAAGAAACGUAAAGCGUCAAAAGAAGACAGUGUUGCAAAAAGGUGAAAACAGGUUAUUAAGACAAUUGACGAAGCUACAAGAGAAGAUCCUUGGUACUGUUAAGAUCCCAAAGAGCUCGGUGAAGGAGCCAUCGAAAGAUCUUCUUAUCCGAAAAGUUGACAAAACUUUUGUAAAAACAAAUUGAAAAAAGCAUACAGAAAGAAGUUGUGAUCAGUACGAUCAUCCCUC